GAUGAACGCUGGCGGCGUGCCUAAUACAUGCAAGUCGAGCGAAUGGAUUAAGAGCUUGCUCUUAUGAAGUUAGCGGCGGACGGGUGAGUAACACGUGGGUAACCUGCCCAUAAGACUGGGAUAACUCCGGGAAACCGGGGCUAAUACCGGAUAACAUUUUGAACCGCAUGGUUCGAAAUUGAAAGGCGGCUUCGGCUGUCACUUAUGGAUGGACCCGCGUCGCAUUAGCUAGUUGGUGAGGUAACGGCUCACCAAGGCCACGAUGCGUAGCCGAGCCGAGAGGGUGAUCGGCCAAACUGGGGCUGAGACACGGCCCAGACUCCUACGGGAGGCAGCAGUAGGGAAUCUUCCGCAAUGGACGAAAGUCUGACGGGGCAACGCCGCGUGAGUGAUGAAGGCUUUCGGGUCGUAAAACUCUGUUGUUAGGGAAGAACAAGUGCUAGUUGAAUAAGCUGGCACCUUGACGGUACCUAACCAGAAAGCCACGGCUAACUACGUGCCAGCCGCCGCCGUAA
rnacentral:rRNA from 1 species